rnacentral:tRNA from 1 species
GCGGGCGUGCUGGAAUUGGCAGACAGGCACGGUUCAGGUCCGUGUGCUCGUAAGAGCGUGGAGGUUCAAGUCCUCUCGCCCGCA